rnacentral:rRNA from 1 species
AAAUCUGGCGUCUUCGACGUCCGAGUUGUAAUUUGUAGAGGAUGCUUCUGAGUAACCACCGACCUAAGUUCCUUGGAACAGGACGUCAUAGAGGGUGAGAAUCCCGUAUGCGGUCGGAAAGGUGCUCUAUACGUAGCUCCUUCGACGAGUCGAGUUGUUUGGGAAUGCAGCUCUAAAUGGGAGGUAAAUUUCUUCUAAAGCUAAAUAUUGGCCAGAGACCGAUAGCGCACAAGUAGAGUGAUCGAAAGAUGAAAAGCACUUUGGAAAGAGAGUUAAAAAGCACGUGAAAUUGUUAAAAGGGAAGGGAUUGCAACCAGACUUGCUCGCGGUGUUCCGCCGGUCUUCUGACCGGUCUACUCGCCGCGUUGCAGGCCAGCAUCGUCUGGUGCCGCUGGAUAAGACUUGAGGAAUGUAGCUCCCUCGGGAGUGUUAUAGCCUCUUGUGAUGCAGCGAGCGCCGGGCGAGGUCCGCGCUUCGGCUAGGAUGCUGGCGUAACGGUCGUAAUCCGCCCGUCUUGAAACACGGACCAAGGAGUCUAACAUCUAUGCGAGUGUUCGGGUGUCAAACCCCUACGCGUAAUGAAAGUGAACGGAGGUGAGAACCGCAAGGUGCAUCAUCGACCGAUCCUGAUGUCUUCGGAUGGAUUUGAGUAAGAGCAUAGCUGUUGGGACCCGAAAGAUGGUGAACUAUGCCUGAAUAGGGUGAAGCCAGAGGAAACUCUGGUGGAGGCUCGCAGCGGUUCUGACGUGCAAAUCGAUCGUCAAAUUUGGGUAUAGGGGCGAAAGACUAAUCGAACCAUCUAGUAGCUGGUUCCUGCC